UAAACAUUGACAUUCGAUGAUCAAACACAGUCUGCCGAUUGAUUCCUACAACAGUCAAGAUGAAUAAACUUAUCUUCGUGUUCCUCCUCGCCAUGGUGGUAAUGUGCCUCAGCGCACCAUCCCCAGCAGAAACACACGAGAAACGUGAACUGUACGCGUACCCGGGAUUAUACCCCGGCUCUUUGUACCGUGGGUAUUACCCGUACCGGUCGUACCCGUACGACUACGGGUACUAUGGCCGUACGUUCCCGUACUAUUAUUAAAAAUGAAAAUUAAUAUGCCCUAUUUCUAACGAAUAAAUGCAUCUCUAUUUGA